rnacentral:lncRNA from 1 species
GUCAUUGGGCAUCCCUAAUCACUAAGUGGCUGGCCCUAACUCUCAUUCCAUUCUCCAUGUCCAUUUUCUCCUUGAUCUAACCAUGUGAGUUUGAUUUCUUCAUUGUUGAUGCUUGGCCAUACCUUGAACCCUUGGAGUUUGCUUUGUCCAUUAACUUCCAUCUUGCUGCAAUGCCUAACUUGCACAAACCAAAUCAUGACCAACAUAAAAGCCAAGCCAUGAAUAUUGCACAUGAACCUGA